GGAAGUUGUCUAUAAAUUUGCUUCAUUCCUUCAAUUUUCAAGAGAAAGACAAGGGUUCGUGAAGAAAUAUCAUUGAAAACAAUAUCUGAAAAAAAAAUGCUCUGUUGGAUUAGAGCUGGCAGGAUCAUGUUGUGUCCAUUUUCUCUAUGUACAUCAUUUUCAAAUGUAAGCAAGCUUCAAAUUGCGAACUCAAUAGUUCCUAGGGAAAUCACUUUUAUCUUUGUUUGGACAAUCAUGGGUGUCGUUCUUGCUGCUGAGAUUUUCAGAAGAGAGAUACGAUCCUUGUGAUCUGGUGCUUUACAUGUAAGGGAGUUUGAAGGAGGCUCAUCCUCGUUUUUUCCCCUGUAAUUCUGCAAUGAAGUUGUGGUUGGAGAUGCUUUAACAAUUUUCCGUUUGGUUCAUGCCAAUAGGGUAAAACAGCUGAUGUGCGUUUGGAAUGUCGGAGAAUUCAGGUGGAGCAGAUUUUAACAGAAG
rnacentral:misc_RNA from 1 species